CCGGGUGUGCAAAUGUGCCCGCCUGAUUCCCAUCCCUAGAGCCUCAGGACAUCCACCCCUGAGUCCGCCCUGGGGGUGUGCCCGGUACAAGCCACCCCCGACCCAGGGCUGCCUGCAGCCCUAAGGUCUCGGAUCAGCGGAGGGGAAGUCAUAGGUCGCUAGCGUCAGGGAAGACAGUAACCUUUGCAGAUGCCUUUAGGGAGGCACGUUGUAAGAUGUAGGUGGCGGCGUGAUGCGAUUAAUUAUGCACAAAUCGCGAUUUCUGGUGUCACAUUCCAGCGCUUAGAGCUCUGGGGAAGCUCUUUGUCAGGACACCGUAUGUUAGCACCCGUGCCAGCCUCAUUAUCCUAACAGAAAGGCCCUGGGCUGGAUGGUAAUGAGCGCUCUGCAGCUUCGCUCCACACUCUGGCAGCUACAACGCAUGAGCGCCAUCUCCCUAGACCAUUCCUGUACCCUGAUAUAGUAAAAUUGCUAAAUAUGGUGAAAGUU